UCCGUAGGCGGUUUAGUAAGUCAGUGGUGAAAGCCCAUCGCUCAACGAUGGAACGGCCAUUGAUACUGCUAGACUUGAAUUACUAGGAAGUAACUAGAAUAUGUAGUGUAGCGGUGAAAUGCUUAGAUAUUACAUGGAAUACCAAUUGCGAAGGCAGGUUACUCCUAGUGGAUUGACGCUGAUGGACGAAAGCGUGGGGAGCGAACAGGAUUAGAUACCCUAGUA
rnacentral:rRNA from 1 species